UUCUCUCUUUUUUGCUUUCCUUUUUACUCAGUCAGAAAGUCUACAGUAUGACAUCCCUUAAAAAAUAAUUACAACAAUAGCAGUUUCCAAUAGACCACCGGCAUAAGAAUCCUUAAAAUAUAAUUAUAAGUAAUAAUUUCUAGAAAAGUUAGAUUAAUAAGUUGGAAAAUAAGAUAGGGUAUAAUGAGAGACUGUUAGGGUAUAAUGAGAGACUUUUCCUGAUAGACCUUCUGUUAGAGAAGGAAAAACAGUUCACAAAAGAAUCAAAUGUGUCUGCCGGAGUCGAACCCGGGCUAUUGCUUGGAAGGCAAUUAUCCUAACCGUUGGACUACAAACGCCUUAAAGAAUUUAACUCUUUUGUUCAAGUUCUUAUUCUAGUGUAGUAAUAAAGUUAAAAAAAUACUUAAGAUCAAGUGUUCAAAUUCUACUGAAUCCCCAUUCAUUUUCUUGAAUCCUUUUUAUGAAUCCCAUCACUCUGUAUUCUGCCUUGAAUUUUUUCAUGGAGGGCAUCUGUAUAAAGUAUGAACUUAGUUUUUAGUUUUCUUAAUUACAACUGUUAAUAGUUUAAGAAAAUAAUUUCAUGAAGCCGAAGGGACAAGGUAGUUCCUAAAACUCUUUGGAAACUACUAGUGCAGACAGAGAGAGAAGAACCCUAUGAACCCUUUAUUUCGAGUAUAAUACUAUAGGAAAUAUUUUAAAGCAUAAAAUACAGAUAUUGAAAACCACUUGAAGAUUAGUGGUCCGUGACGUAAAUUCAUUGAACAACUCUGGUAUACAUUACAUCAGCAAUAGAACUUUAUUCAGAAUGAUCCUAAUUAGUGCUCUACUAAAAAAAAGUGGAAAAAGUUUAAAACUCUAAGGUCUUUUUUCCUUUUUUGGUUCUCUUUUUAGAUCAUUUUCUUUUUUUUUUUUGUCCACCAGUAGUUCUUAUCCACAGUUUCGAUGUAAAAUUUAUUGAAAAACAACAUUUCUGGUAUAGUCAAGUAAUGGAUAUUUCUAGAGGUAUACGUUUUGUUUGUAACAGAAGAAAACAGGCACUAAAGAGACACUUGUCCUUUUAUCAUUUGGGUUAUUCUUUUGUGAAAGCUCUAUUUGAGCUGCAUUUGGGUAUGGUCCAAAGUCCAAACUAUAACCUCCAUCUAUUCCUUUUGUCCAUGAACCUAUCUUUCAUCAGUUAUAUCAUAUAUGUCCAUUUCAAACCGUUGGUAUUUACAAAUCCUAACAACUAAAAUCACUUUUUUUUUUUUUGGUAACAACUAUGAAUAUUACCAUUAACAACCAAAAACAAUACACCUCUAGAGCACCUAAUUUCACAAAUCAGAAAUUUGGCCUCCAAUAAAACAGAAAAAAUCUAGUUACACAUUAACUGCUGCAAUAAACCUUUUACGUGCUUUCUUAGAUGUUCUAAGUAAAUCUAAUCUCUCGACAGUGUCCUUUCUAAUCUGCGUUACUACCUCAGCUCUAUGUACAUUUACUCCUUUGAACAACUUCCGGUUUCUAGCUCUCCAAGUAAAUCACUUUUUCUAAAGAAAAAUUAAACAAAUUAUUUCCUAAGGAUCAUCAUAUUCUUGGUUGCAUCUUGUCUUCCGUUGCUGCUUGUAAUAUGUGACCUCCUUUGACUAACUGACAAGGUAAAUAGGCUGCUCACUCCUACAGAAAGAAUUAGAAAGUGAAUUAUAUACAUAUGCAAAAAAAAUAA